rnacentral:rRNA from 1 species
AGCGAACGCUGGCGGCAGGCCUAACACAUGCAAGUCGAGCGAUGAAGCUCCUUCGGGAGUGGAUUAGCGGCGGACGGGUGAGUAACACGUGGGUAACCUGCCUCAUAGAGAGGGAUAGCCUUCCGAAAGGAAGAUUAAUACCUCAUAAGAUUGUAGUUUCGCAUGAAACGGCAAUAAAAGGAGCAAUCCGCUAUGAGAUGGACCCGCGUCGCAUUAGCUAGUUGGUAAGGUAAUGGCUUACCAAGGCGACGAUGCGUAGCCGACCUGAGAGGGUGAUCGGCCACAUUGGGACUGAGACACGGCCCAGACUCCUACGGGAGGCAGCAGUGGGGAAUAUUGCACAAUGGGGGAAACCCUGAUGCAGCAAUGCCGCGUGAGUGAUGACGGUCUUCGGAUUGUAAAACUCUGUCUUUGGGGACGAUAAUGACGGUACCCAAGGAGGAAGCCACGGCUAACUACGUGCCAGCCGCCGCCGUAACAC